GGGGAGAAUCCGAAUGAAGAGGAAGUUCCAAGACAAAGGGUAAUUAGGAGGCCACGAUCCCAUUCAGCCGGUUUGUUUGGAAAAGUCCCUCCGAAACCAAUCCGUAUCAAUAUUUCAGGAGGACAUAUUGAAGAUGAUCAAGCAAAGAAGACUUUGCUUGCUAUUGUUCGUGAAAGGUGGCCCGUUGGACAUUACACGUUCACCGACAUUGUUGAAUAUGAUGAUGAAUGGCUAAAACACGUAGUCGAGGAAUUUAAUUUAUAUUUCAAGCAACAAAAGGGACAAAGCCGGUCCGAAGCAAAAAAUAUAAUUGAGAAGCAUAUCAAGAACACAAUAAAGAGGACGUUGAAUGAGCUCAAGACAAAUAUUGAGCAAAAAUCAAAGGAAAGCGGAAAAUCAAAAUUGAG